rnacentral:rRNA from 1 species
AUACAACUUUCAGCAACGGAUCUCUUGGCUCUCGCAUCGAUGAAGAACGCAGCGAAAUGCGAUAAGUAAUGUGAAUUGCAGAAUUCAGUGAAUCAUCGAAUCUUUGAACACACCUUGCGCUCCUUGGUAUUACGAGGAGCAUGCCUGUUUGAGUGUCAUUA